GAUGAAGAACGCAGCGAAAUGCGAUAAGUAAUGUGAAUUGCAGAAUUCAGUGAAUCAUCGAAUCUUUGAACGCACAUUGCGCCCCUUGGUAUUCCGAGGGGCAUGCCUGUUCGAGCGUCAUUAUAACCCCUCAAGCUCAGCUUGGUGUUGGGGCCUGCUCCACUGGCAGCCCUUAAAAUCAGUGGCGGCGCCAUCUGGCUCUAAGCGUAGUAAUUCUUCUCGCUAUGGAGUCCUGGUGGAUGCUUGCCAUCAACCCCCAAUUUUUCUAUGGUUGACCUCGGAUCAGGUAGGGAUACCCGCUGAACUUAAGCAUAUCAAUAAGCGGAGGA
rnacentral:misc_RNA from 1 species